rnacentral:rRNA from 1 species
UUGCUUUCUUUGCUGGCGACCGGCGCACGGGUGAGUAACACGUAUCCAACCAGCCCUUUACUCGGGGAUAGCCUUUCGAAAGAAAGAUUAAUACCCGAUAGUAUAAUGAUUCCGCAUGGUUUCAUUAUUAAAGGAUUCCGGUAAAGGAUGGGGAUGCGUUCCAUUAGGUUGUUGGUGAGGUAACGGCUCACCAAGCCUUCGAUGGAUAGGGGUUCUGAGAGGAAGGUCCCCCACAUUGGAACUGAGACACGGUCCAAACUCCUACGGGAGGCAGCAUG